UGCAGCAUGGUGUAGUGGUUUGAGUGUUGGACUGUGACUCUGGAGACCAGGGUUCGAAUCCCAUUUUGGUCA